AUAGAUGUCUGCUGUUUGUGUCGACUUUGUUCUUCCCCUUCUUGUUUCACAGCAGCGCUCGGCGUCCCUGAAGAAGAGUUUGUGCCCGAUGAAGACAGGGCUGCUCCAAAUAUUGUGUGAAGCCACCAAAAGUAGCAAAUCAGCUGAAUUCAGUGUUGAGAACUGGUGGGUGUGACUGUUGGAGUCCCUGACUUGUUGUUCCCAGCUGGGCCAAGCUAUUGUGUAGGUAUUCAGGCAACGCACUCAUGAAACUAGAUAAAUGGAUUAGUGGAUCAGAGACACCAGCGGCACCUUCAAAAGGAACACAGCAGCCUGCAAAAGAGACUGACAUUUGUGUACUGGGGCAGAGGGUGUGUGAAUGCUCUGCUACUGCCAAAGGGACAAGACAGUGAUAAACUUUCCUCAGCGGCCACCUCACUCUUCUGUACAAUUCUAAAACAAAAUAAAUGGAUUGCCUCAUUGUGGCUGAUCUGUAGGCAGCAUGGAGAAAACAGCACUUGUCCAGCAACAAAGGCCAAGAAUGAAAGACUGACAACCUCUCCACCACUGAUGUCACUUUUUUUGUCCGCCCUCUUGGACCCGACCCCUAAUGCCGAGUGACUAUAUAACCUGGGACCCAGCCAUCUUGUUCUCAGCUAACCUUAACCAGGCCUGGCAGGCAAAGAAUAGUACAUAUGGAAAUAUCAUCAUGCAUUACACAAGAAGAAUGUCAAAGAUGCAGUGCCAAGAAGAUGCCCACUGAGGGCCAUUGACUCCGCCCCUUCCAGUCCCUCCACUACAUAUCCCACGUUUCCUGGAAGGAGGCCUGACUUGUCAUGAGAUUCCUUCCCACAGUGACUUUAACAGGCUUUGUUAGCCCAGAGAGGUCCCCAAGACAAGGGCCCUGAUUUUCAUUUCAUUUUCAUUUUCAUCAAGCGCAACCUUUUAUUUAUUCAUUUGACCUGGUUAAAAAGGGUUGACAGGGUUUGUGCCCCAACAGCUUGUGGACCUGCAGAUCCUUCCAUUGAGCAUAAGGCUUACUUACACU